CCUACGGGAGGCAGCAGUGGGGAAUAUUGGACAAUGGGCGAAAGCCUGAUCCAGCCAUGCCGCGUGUGUGAAGAAGGCCUUCGGGUUGUAAAGCACUUUCAGUGGGGAAGAAAGCCUUGGGGCUAAUACCCUCGAGGAAGGACAUCACCCACAGAAGAAGCACCGGCUAACUCCGUGCCAGCAGCCGCGGUAAUACGGAGGGUGCGAGCGUUAAUCGGAAUUACUGGGCGUAAAGCGCGCGUAGGCGGUCUGAUAAGCCGGUUGUGAAAGCCCCGGGCUCAACCUGGGAACGGCAUCCGGAACUGUCAGGCUAGAGUGCAGGAGAGGAAGGUAGAAUUCCCGGUGUAGCGGGGAAAUGCGUAGAGAUCGGGAGGAAUACCAGUGGCGAAGGCGGCCUUCUGGACUGACACUGACGCUGAGGUGCGAAAGCGUGGGUAGCAAACAGGAUUAGAUCCCCGAGUAGUC
rnacentral:rRNA from 1 species